UACAGAGGGUGCAAGCGUUGUUCGGAAUUAUUGGGCGUAAAGGGAGUGUAGGCGGUUCGUUAAGUCUUCUGUGAAAUCUACGGGCUUAGCCUGUAACGUGCAGAGGAAACGAGCGGGCUUGAGUGUCGGAGAGGAUAGGGGAAUACCCAGUGUAGAGGUGAAAUUCGUAGAGAUUGGGAAGAACACCAGUGGCGAAGGCGGCUAUCUGGACGGUUUCUGACACUAAGACUCGAAAGCGUGGGGAGCAAACAGG
rnacentral:rRNA from 1 species